rnacentral:rRNA from 1 species
GUAGGGAAUCUUGCGCAAUGGGCGAAAGCCUGACGCAGCCAUGCCGCGUGAAUGAUGAAGGUCUUAGGAUUGUAAAAUUCUUUCACCGGGGACGAUAAUGACGGUACCCGGAGAAGAAGCCCCGGCUAACUUCGUGCCAGCAGCCGCGGUAAUACGAAGGGGGCUAGCGUUGCUCGGAAUUACUGGGCGUAAAGGGAGCGUAGGCGGAUAGUUUAGUCAGAGGUGAAAGUCCAGGGCUCAACCUUGGAAUUGCCUUUGAUACUGGCUAUCUUGAGGAUGGAAGAGGUAUGUGGAACUCCGAGUGUAGAGGUGAAAUUCGUAGAUAUUCGGAAGAACACCAGUGGCGAAGGCGACAUACUGGUCCAUUACUGACGCUGAGGCUCGAAAGCGUGGGGAGCAAACAGGAUUAGAAACCCGGGUAGUCC